AGAAUCAACGCUGGCGGCGUGCCUAACACAUGCAAGUCGAACGAGAAAGUGGAGCAAUCCAUGAGUAAAGUGGCGGCACGGGUGAGUAACACGUGACUAACCUACCCUUGAGUGGGGGAUAACCUAAGGGAAACCUGGGCUAAUACCGCAUAAUACCUUCGGGUCAAAGGAGCAAUUCGCUUAAGGAGGGGUCGCGGCCGAUUAGUUAGUUGGCGGGGUAAUGGCCCACCAAGACUGUGAUCGGUAU
rnacentral:rRNA from 1 species